AAAGAAGACAACAUAUAUAAUAACAGAGUGCAUAGAGAUAAAUGUCACAAUAUAAUCAGAGUAAUUAUUACAUAGCGGAAGACUUACAAAAUAAAAGAUAAAUAUAACACAAACUAAGGAUCGUCCUUGGCGCAGAAGUCAACUGGGGAACGCCACCUAGAUCGAAUCGAACUCCUCGAUAAGCGGCUCCUCUUGAACCACCUGUUCUUCUCCUGUGGGGGGUGUGAGACAGCAAGGGUGAGCUCACAAAUGUUCAUCGCUCAACAAGUUGUGGGGAAUAAUGUAACAUGAACUCACCAAAGGUGGGAGCUCAUGAAGUGUAAGGCUUAUCAAAGAGAAUGGUUAAAGCUGAGCAUUGCUUUUAUAAGUUGGUCAAAAUUUUAUUAGCAAUUACUAAGUGUAAGUAAAUACCAAACCAUAAUAAAUAAUAAUAGAACAAAAUUAACAAAUGAUCCCAUGCAAUGCAAAUGACAAAUUGAAUUUAAGUUCCAUAGAUUAAUCAUCGGAGAGUCCUGAGCCGCUCAUGACCGUGAGCUCGGCUAGUAUACCAGUUUUACACUCUGCAGAGGUUGUACCCUUUACCCACAAGUCGUGUUUCCCAUGUCGCCAGGGUUAGCUAGGCCCUUAGACACUACCAAGGUGAAUGGCUAGGGAUCCACUACGAGGCCUUUACAAAGUUCCACUAGCUUCCGAAAACCCGCAACAGUUUAUGGGAAGAGCACUUGCAAGAAUCCCCCGUCUGACCGCCAUCGCAGCAAAAUCAACCCGAGAACCUCCUUGCAUGCAACUCCCCUACUGCCCUUGCCCCUUUCAGGUAAGGUAGUCUUCCAAUAGCUUUCCUAAUUAGUCAGCCAAGGGGUCCCAUUCCUCCCUUGUGGUGGCACGUGUUUCUCAAGUUAAGCUCCAUGUUCCAAUUAACAAUAAUAUAAUGAUCUUGACAUGAACAUAAAUAAAAUAACAUAAUAACUGGAACAUGGAUAUAAUAAAUGAUUAUCCCAAAACCAUAUAAAGCAAUAGCAAACUACCCAAGUGAUUCAGGGGUAAACAAGGUAAUGAGAUAAACAAUCUAGGGUGACCUAUUGGGUCCCAUCAAAAUUAAACCUAUGCAUGGUAAAUGAUUAUAAAGAACAUUAUUGGGUAACAAAAGUGAAUCAAGGGCACAACUUGCCUGGCACUUGAGAAUCCAGGAACCAACUUGCUUUUCAGAUGACACGUGUCCUCGCGCUAGUCGUAUCAAUACAAACAAACAUGGUAUAGAUAAAAUUAACAUCACACCAAACAUAAGAAUAUACUGCAUAAUAAUGAUCUACGCAUUGCUAUGAGACUAACGCAACUUGAACGUAUCAAAUCGGAGUUAAAACGAAGGAGUUAUGAUUUUCUGAAGAUUAUAUGUGUUUUGUACAAGAUUAAAUGGGAUAUAAAUUUUAAUGUGAUUUUCAUGUCAAAACAGUGGUACUAGAUGAUAGACAAUAAUAUUACAAAAUUAUAGGAAUUGGAACGAAUUAAUUUGGACUUAGUAUGAAUUAAAUAUGAUUUAUGCAAGUUUCUCGAAUUAGUUUUGUACUAAAAAUCAAUUUCGAAAUGAUUUUCUCUGUUUUAUAAUCAGUCUGGACUGCGCCCCUAUUUCUAAUAAAGACAGGGCCCUCAGCGCAAAAGUCCCAAGACUCAGGUUUCUGUAUACUGGACGGCGGGUUGAUUAUGAAGAAUACCGAGGGCUCUUAUGCAAGACAUGCACAGCGAAGGGGUAUGGCGCGAUAUCGGCCGUCAGAUCCGAGACGUGCGCACCAGAUUAGAUCUUGCCGCCCGCGAAGCGGUACGCCGCACGACCCGUCCAUUCUGCGAUCAACGGCGCAGAUCUAAUUACUCCGAAAUCUCCCCCGAUCUGUUCGAUCAAGUCCGACGGUCAGGAUCAAACGCGCGAAGGGGUAUACUACAGUUUAAUCUUAGCCGUCGAUUACGAUCCGACGACCUAAUUCUCCCCUAGCCGCGUCAACAGACACCGUGGGUGACUAGGUGCCCACGGCGGCGCACCAGUGAACGACGGCGGAGCUAUAGCCGGAGUGCGGCGAUCCAGGGCUCUGGUACGCUGAUUCAUGCGUAAAUAAGUGCAACACGCAGAGGUCACUAAGGCGAAAACAAUAGGGGGUGUAUUACCGGAUGGCACGGCGUGGAGGUAACUGCUCUCAGCUAGAUGCGGCGGAGUGAGGAUUGCAUCCCGACGGCGAGCGAUUGCCGCAUAAUCACAACCCCGCGCACCAGGAGACUCCCCUGAACUCGAUCAGUAUUCCCAAUCGGACGACCCUGACCACCCAGCAGACCCCAACCGACGGCGAGGGUGGGGGACAGCGUCGGGGCGGUGCGGGCGUAGAUGAAGAUGUCGCCGGACUUGAAUCCGCCCAUGGCGUGCUGCGACCCGCCGAGGAGCGGAGAGGUACGGUGGAGCAGGAGCUUGGGGCCGAGGAGAGUGGAUUCGCGACUAUGGACGAGCACGACGUGAAAGAUGGCCAGGCUUGUCGGCGGCGUCUAGAAUCCCGACCUCGCCAUGCAUCCGAAUCAACCACGGCGGCACCUCCCGCAGAGUCCCUCACAACCCGCCCAAGGGUAGCGCGCCGCUGCAGACAUGAAUCACCGGUUGCGCCAUCUUGCGGACCCCGAGGUCGUGCACCGUGAGCGAGCGGAGGCGACUGGAGUUCACGGCAGGGGAGGCCGCCGCGGUAGAGCAACUUGGUCGGGCAACACGGGGUUCGCGGCUGGUUUAUGCAGCCCGUAGGGGAGAGAAUUUCGGCAAGGUAGCGCCACAACGACCUUGCGGAGGAUCCGGCGGCGAGUCC
rnacentral:lncRNA from 1 species